CCUACGGGAGGCAGCAGUGAGGAAUAUUGGUCAAUGGGCGCGAGCCUGAACCAGCCAAGUAGCGUGAAGGAUGACUGCCCUACGGGUUGUAAACUUCUUUUAUAAAGGAAUAAAGUGAGGCACGUGUGCCUUUUUGUAUGUACUUUAUGAAUAAGGAUGGGCUAACUCCGUGCAAGCAGCCGCGGUAAUACGGAGGAGCCGAGCGUUAUCCGGAUUUAUUGGGUUUACAGGGAGCGUAGAGGGGUUGUUAAGUCAGUUGUGAAAGUUUGCGGCUCAACCGUACAAUUGCAAUUGAUACUGGCAGUCUUGAGUACAGUUGCGGUCGGCGGAAUUCGUUUUGUAGCCG
rnacentral:rRNA from 1 species